rnacentral:rRNA from 1 species
AGAGUUUGAUCCUGGCUCAGGAUGAACGCUAGCUACAGGCUUAACACAUGCAAGUCGAGGGGAAACGAUAUUGGAAGCUUGCUUCCGAUAGGCGUCGACCGGCGCACGGGUGAGUAACGCGUAUCCAACCUGCCCAUCACUUGGGAAUAACCUUGCGAAAGUAAGACUAAUGCCCAAUGACAUUUAUAGAAGGCAUCUGAAAUGAAUUAAAGAUUUAUCGGUGAUGGAUGGGGAUGCGUCUGAUUAGCUUGUUGGCGGGGUAACGGCCCACCAAGGCGACGAUCAGUAGGGGUUCUGAGAGGAAGGUCCCCCACAUUGGAACUGAGACACGGUCCAAACUCCUACGGGAGGCAGCAGUGAGGAAUAUUGGUCAAUGGGCGAGAGCCUGAACCAGCCAAGUAGCGUGCAGGAUGACGGCCCUAUGGGUUGUAAACUGCUUUUAUAGGGGAAUAAAGUGAGCCACGUGUGGUUUUUUGCAUGUACCCUAUGAAUAAGGACCGGCUAAUUCCGUGCCAGCAGCCGCGGUAAUACGGAAGGUCCGGGCGUUAUCCGGAUUUAUUGGGUUUAAAGGGAGCGUAGGCCGGAGAUUAAGCGUGUUGUGAAAUGUAGAUGCUCAACAUCUGCACUGCAGCGCGAACUGGUUUCCUUGAGUACGCAUAAAGUGGGCGGAAUUCGUGGUGUAGCGGUGAAAUGCUUAGAUAUCACGAAGAACUCCGAUUGCGAAGGCAGCUCACUGGGGCGCAACUGACGCUGAAGCUCGAAAGCGCGGGUAUCGAACAGGAUUAGAUACCCUGGUAGUCCGCGCGGUAAACGAUGGAUGCCCGCUGUUGGGCCAACUGGUUCAGCGGCCAAGCGAAAGCAUUAAGCAUCCCACCUGGGGAGUACGCCGGCAACGGUGAAACUCAAAGGAAUUGACGGGGGCCCGCACAAGCGGAGGAACAUGUGGUUUAAUUCGAUGAUACGCGAGGAACCUUACCCGGGCUUGAAUUGCAGAGGAAGGAUUUGGAGACAAUGACGCCCUUCGGGGCCUCUGUGAAGGUGCUGCAUGGUUGUCGUCAGCUCGUGCCGUGAGGUGUCGGCUUAAGUGCCAUAACGAGCGCAACCCCUCUCCAUAGUUGCCAUCAGGUGAAGCUGGGCACUCUGUGGACACUGCCACCGUAAGGUGCGAGGAAGGUGGGGAUGACGUCAAAUCAGCACGGCCCUUACGUCC